rnacentral:rRNA from 1 species
GACGAACGCUGGCGGCGUGCUUAACACAUGCAAGUCGAACGCUGAAGCUCAGCUUUUGUUGGGUGGAUGAGUGGCGAACGGGUGAGUAACACGUGAGUAACCUGCCUCCUUCUUUGGGAUAGCGCCCGGAAACGGGUGCUAAUACUGGAUAUUCACUGGUCUUCGCAUGGGGGUUGGUGGAAAGGGUUUUUCUGGUGGGGGAUGGGCCCGCGGCCUAUCAGCUUGUUGGUGGGGUGAUGGCCUACCAAGGCUUUGACGGGUAGCCGGCCUGAGAGGGUGACCGGUCACAUUGGGACUGAGAUACGGCCCAGACUCCUACGGGAGGCAGCAGUGGGGAAUAUUGCACAAUGGGCGCAAGCCUGAUGCAGCGACGCCGCGUGAGGGAUGGAGGCCUUCGGGUUGUGAACCUCUUUCGCUCAUGGUCAAGCCGCAACAAUGGUUGUGGUGAGGGUAGUGGGUAAAGAAGCGCCGGCUAACUACGUG